rnacentral:piRNA from 1 species
UACACACAGCCAGGUGGAGAAGGACU